rnacentral:rRNA from 1 species
UACGAAGGGGGCUAGCGUUGCUCGGAAUCACUGGGCGUAAAGCGCACGUAGGCGGAUUGUUAAGUCAGGGGUGAAAUCCUGGAGCUCAACUCCAGAACUGCCUUUGAUACUGGCGAUCUUGAGUCCGGGAGAGGUGAGUGGAACUGCGAGUGUAGAGGUGAAAUUCGUAGAUAUUCGCAAGAACACCAGUGGCGAAGGCGGCUCACUGGCCCGGUACUGACGCGGAGGUGCGAAAGCGUGGGGAGCAAACAGG